rnacentral:lncRNA from 1 species
UGGACGAAGUCUGUCUGCAGCCGUUGGAGUCGAGGGCGAAGCCCGGCUCCCGUAGGAGUCCGGGCGGAGUCUUCCUGCAAUUAAAGUCAAAGGCGAAGUCCGGCUCCCGUAGGAGUCCGGACAGGGCUUACCAGCGGUUGAUGUUGAGGAUGGAGCCCGGCUCCCGUAGGAGUCCGGGCGGAGUCUACUUGCGGUUGAAGUUGUCGGCGGAGUCCG